AUGUCCAAGGAGAGGAGCACUCCUGAAGGUAUCAACAUGAAGGAACAUGGUUGGAGGUUUCGGUUCCCCUUCCCUGAACUCCCGAAGUCGACUUAUCGUGGUGACCUGAAUUCCAUUGGAAGGCCAGUUGUAAUGAAACAGAGGAAACCUCUGGAGGUGAGGAACGCUCGCCGUGAAAGAAGAGUCGCGGCAAAACAAAAGGCUGCGCGCUACCAUGCGGAGGUGGCCCUGCGUAAAUACAACAGAGCAAACAACACCAAGUUUGAGCUAGUGGAGGUAAAAGUGAUAUCUAUAUUUUCCGAGUUCGGAGGGGCUGGGGCCCAUUAUAACUUCACAGCUAAGCAGCCUGAGGACCAGCAUUCUGUUGAUGCUGACAGUACCAAGCUAUUCUUCUCCGAAGUUAACCUCGAUUUUCGGAGUGAGAAUGAUGUGAUCAUGAGCUGUAUAGUUGGGGAAAAUGAUGCAGGCCAUUGCUACGGAUGCGAAAACUACCAGCCUGUGAUUCACCCAAGCAGCCAAGCAUACGGCGGCGGUAGUAGUACUUGUAUUGACUACCCUUAUCCGGACAGCGAGAGCUCAGACAGCGAUUAG
rnacentral:rRNA from 1 species